AAUCCAUAGGUUAAUGAGGCGAACCGGGGGAACUGAAACAUCUAAGUACCCCGAGGAAAAGAAAUCAACCGAGAUUCCCCCAGUAGCGGCGAGCGAACGGGGAGGAGCCCAGAGCCUGAAUCAGCAUGUGUGUUAGUGGAAGCGUCUGGAAAGGCGCGCGAUACAGGGUGACAGCCCCGUACACAAAAGCGCAUGUGCUGUGAGCUCGAUGAGUAGGGCGGGACACGUGGUAUCCUGUCUGAAUAUGGGGGGACCAUCCUCCAAGGCUAAAUACUCCUGACUGACCGAUAGUGAACCAGUACCGUGAGGGAAAGGCGAAAAGAACCCCGGCGAGGGGAGUGAAAAAGAACCUGAAACCGUGUACGUACAAGCAGUGGGAGCACAGGUUUACCUGUGUGACUGCGUACCUUUUGUAUAAUGGGUCAGCGACUUAUAUUCUGUAGCAAGGUUAACCGAAUAGGGGAGCCGGAGGGAAACCGAGUCUUAAUUGGGCGUUAAGUUGCAGGGUAUAGACCCGAAACCCGGUGAUCUAGCCAUGGGCAGGUUGAAGGUUGGGUAACACUAACUGGAGGACCGAACCGACUAAUGUUGAAAAAUUAGCGGAUGACCUGUGGCUGGGGGUGAAAGGCCAAUCAAACCGGGAGAUAGCUGGUUCUCCCCGAAAGCUAUUUAGGUAGCGCCUCGUGAAUUCAUCUCCGGGGGUAGAGCACUGUUUCGGCUAGGGGGCCAUCCCGGCUUACCAACCCGAUGCAAACUGCGAAUACCGGAGAAUGUUAUCACGGGAGACACACGGCGGGUGCUAACGUCCGUCGUGAAGAGGGAAACAACCCAGACCGCCAGCUAAGGUCCCAAAGUCAUGGUUAAGUGGGAAACGAUGUGGGAAGGCCCAGACAGCCAGGAUGUUGGCUUAGAAGCAGCCAUCAUUUAAAGAAAGCGUAAUAGCUCACUGGUCGAGUCGGCCUGCGCGGAAGAUGUAACGGGGCUAAACCAUGCACCGAAGCUGCGGCAGCGACACUCAGGUGUUGUUGGGUAGGGGAGCGUUCUGUAAGCCUGCGAAGGUGGCCUGUGAGGGUUGCUGGAGGUAUCAGAAGUGCGAAUGCUGACAUAAGUAACGAUAAAGCGGGUGAAAAGCCCGCUCGCCGGAAGACCAAGGGUUCCUGUCCAACGUUAAUCGGGGCAGGGUGAGUCGACCCCUAAGGCGAGGCCGAAAGGCGUAGUCGAUGGGAAACGGGUUAAUAUUCCCGUACUUGGUGUUACUGCGAAGGGGGGACGGAGAAGGCUAUGUUGGCCGGGCGACGGUUGUCCCGGUUUAAGCGUGUAGGUGUGUGUUCCAGGUAAAUCCGGUUCACUUUAACACUGAGGCGUGAUGACGAGGCACUACGGUGCUGAAGCAACAAAUGCCCUGCUUCCAGGAAAAGCCUCUAAGCAUCAGGUAACAUCAAAUCGUACCCCAAACCGACACAGGUGGUCAGGUAGAGAAUACCAAGGCGCUUGAGAGAACUCGGGUGAAGGAACUAGGCAAAAUGGUGCCGUAACUUCGGGAGAAGGCACGCUGACAUGUAGGUGAAGUGAUUUACUCAUGGAGCUGAAGUCAGUCGAAGAUACCAGCUGGCUGCAACUGUUUAUUAAAAACACAGCACUGUGCAAACACGAAAGUGGACGUAUACGGUGUGACGCCUGCCCGGUGCCGGAAGGUUAAUUGAUGGGGUCAGCGCAAGCGAAGCUCCUGAUCGAAGCCCCGGUAAACGGCGGCCGUAACUAUAACGGUCCUAAGGUAGCGAAAUUCCUUGUCGGGUAAGUUCCGACCUGCACGAAUGGCGUAAUGAUGGCCAGGCUGUCUCCACCCGAGACUCAGUGAAAUUGAACUCGCUGUGAAGAUGCAGUGUACCCGCGGCAAGACGGAAAGACCCCGUGAACCUUUACUAUAGCUUGACACUGAACAUUGAGCCUUGAUGUGUAG
rnacentral:rRNA from 1 species